GAAAGAAAAAGCUAAAAUUUUUAUCGAUUUUUUGUUUCGCUUUUUUUCGCCACUUUAUUAAUUACACUUUUUCCACUCUUGAAUUGUUUCAACUUUUUUUUCUCUUCUUGUACACUUUUCUCUCAUUGAUUAUUGAUAUCAAGAACGUGUUUAUUUGCAAUUUGCAAAUUAAUAUUACAACAUUGAUCCAACUUUUCAAUACAAACUCUUUAUACUUUUCAAUCUUCACUUCUUCUGGCCUCCAUCUUUUUUACCUUAAUAACCUGAAUUUUUCGUUACCUGUCAUCAAGACUUAACAACUUUCUUCUUUUUUACAGUAACCUAAACAGUUAGUUUCAAGUUUUUCUCUCCAGCUUAAAGCAAAACUAUUCGACUGAUUAUCAUGAUUAUCAUGAUGACGAAGAUGGUUUUUUCCCAACAAAAAAAUGUAAUUUGAAUAUUCCAUUAAACAUGGAGAGAAAGCAAAGAGAAUUGGGUAACUUGAAAGAAAGAAAAAAUUGAUUCCAAGACUUUACUUUUCAUGAUUCUUCUUCUUUUUUCUUCUUCUCCCCAUUAAUACAUAAUGAUUAACCUUUAAACAAUAUCUUCAGAUAAUUGUGAUGAGGUCACUUUUCACCAACUAAAUGUUUCAAGGUACAGUUACUUUUUCAGUUGCUUUUAAACUUGACAAUUGGAAAUGGUUGAAAUGUCAAAAAAGCCGGAAAAUGUUUGUGAAAAGUUGAAAAAUAUGGAAAUGAGAAAAGUUGAAUUUGGGUGAAAAAAAGUGGAAUCAUUUUGUUUUUAGUUUUUCUCUUGGUUUCAAUACUUGAACCUUUCCGUUUAUCCGCAGUUGUAGUUGUUGAAAUUGUCCCAGUUUUGAGGUGAAACUGAUUAUACUUAAUGUGUUAGUAAAAAAGUAAAAGAAAGUGUGCCUAAAAUAGAGAGAAGAGAGAGAGGGAAAAAAGAAAGAGAAGAAAAGGCAGAAAGCAAGUGUCAAGUAAUGACGAAAGAGAAAAAGAAAGAAAAAGUUGAAUCUUGAGCAAAAGCAAAAUAACUUAACAAGUGAAUGAAUAAGAGGAACCCUAAAAUUUUUAUAAUUGCGUAAAGUAAAAGCAAGAAGAAGAAGAAGAAAUCCAAGCUUAAACAAUCCAUUAAAGCGAAUGGCGAAUGAAAAAAAAACAUAAGAAAAGAAAGUAAAGAAAGAAAGAAAAAGUUUCAAGUUUUGAGUUACGAUGUUGGCUAACGAAGAGAAGAGCGAGAGAAAAGAAAGAAAAGAAGACAGAGAUACUUGUUAGCACACCUUAGUUGAUGUCCACUUUAUUAAAAUGAAAAGCCGGUUUCGACCUAAUUGAGUAAAACUGGAAAACCUUGUAACAAAACUCAUUGCGUUGAAAAAAAAAGUUUCGUUGCCUCUUUACUUCUCUCUUGCAUCUCUCUCUUCGUUAGAUCCUCUUUUUGAGCCUCUUUCUCUUUCUUUUUUCAUCAUCAUAAUCAUAAUCUUCUUUCUUCCUCUUCUCUCUUCUGUUUAUUUCAUUUUCUCGCUCCUUAAUAAUUCAUAUUACUCAAUACCAUCAACAAUCCAAACAACAACAAAACAACAGUAAGACCUUCAUUUCUCCUCUCAUUUCUUGCCAACCUUCAACAAGAUGAAAAUGAAAGUUGAUUAGCAAAAUGACCUUGUUUAUCCACACAUCAACGCUUUGAUAGCGCUUUUUUACAUCGUUACUUCGUUAGCUUCAAUAGUUAACUUUCUUUCGCCAUCAGAUUAUUUUUAUUAUCUUUAUUCAUUUGGUUGGCUCGAGAGAAGCAAAAAAGUGGUCAAAAAGCAGUACAAUUUUUUGAUUAAAUCCUUGAAAAGUGAAGGUGAAUACGAAAGCUUCAAACAUUUCAAUGGAAACAAAUUGAAAUCGAAAGGCGAGAAUCAAAAGAAGAAAAAAAUUCUCCUUUUCUCUAAUACCAAGCAUUUUCGAGUUUUUACAUCCAACGAAUGUUGUACAGAAAAAAAAGUUCAUAAUCUAGCAACAAACUUCUCCACCUUUUUCAAUCUUACCUUGCGCUGGAAACAUUGAUUGAUUAGCUUUGAAAGUUUAACCUUUUUUACAUUCUUUCAUCAAUUUUGUCUGUAUCGCAAGUUUACUUUUUUUAUCUGUUAUUUAAGGUAAAAAAUUGCCCAAAAAUUAUGACUUGUUCCGUUGAUGAAUGAAAGAAAAAUGAUUUUUUGUUUCUUUUCUCCCGUUUCAAAUAUUUUUUUCCGAUUAAAAUGUAAUCAUUUUGGCGAACCGUAAGUUUACUGUAAUCAGCCUUGAUCUAACGGGCCAAUUUGAUUGAGAUAGAGAUUGGAAAAGUGGAAAAGUUGAAAAGAGCGAAAAAUGAAAAUUUAAUUUUAAUUGCAACAAAUGACAAUAGUGCCAUUUAACAGUGUAAAUGAUUUCAGUAGUUGGUAACAGUUAUUGCUUAUUAUUUAAUGAAACUAUUAUUAUAUCAAAAAGGGGGGUUGAGAGAAAAGAGAGAAAUAACAAUUAUUCUAAUGACAUGCACUUAGUAAUUUUAAUGAUAAUUGUAAUAGUGAUAGUGAUCAUAAUAAUAAUUGUAAUAAUAUUUCACUAACAAGUUGACAAAGUUUUUCAUUUGGUUUGGUGAAAACUGAUGUGUUUACUUGAGGCAUGCCAAAAUCAAUACAAACUGGUGGGCUUGAAAAACGUCAUGAAAAUCCCUUUUUGUGAACCAGUAAAGGAACCUUUCCUCAUCACCAUCAUUAUCAUUAUCAUAAUCAUCUUUAAUCUUUUCUCUCUUUUUGUUGUCAAUUUAAAUUUGCGAGUUAAUCUAUUGAGUGAAAAUUCAACCGGGUCAGUUGAGCUCAACGGUUACGUCAACUUUGAAUUUAGAAGUGAUUUUUCAAAAGUUAACUCUCUUUUCACUCAAUGGUUUGGGAAAAUGAAAUUAAGCUUCAAACUAAUGCAUAACAACAAUCAUGAUGAUGAUGAUGAUGAUGAUGAUCAACUGCAGUAGCAGAGUAAAGUAAAAGAUUUUUGUGUAACUUUGAGUUAAUUGAAAGAGAGUCAACAGGGAAAUGAUGUUGCGAAGCAGAAUGAUGAUCAAGAUGAUAAAGAGUGAAAGAGGGGAUUAAACAGGAGGUAAUGCUGUUUUACCGCUACUUUUUUGUUGCUCACUUCUUGCUGACUUGUAAGGUAAACUAUCAAUUGUGGGUAAACUUUAUUUCAAAUUAACUGUCAAAUUUUGCUUUGAACUGAACAUCUUUUGUUUUUACGCUUCUUUUUGCGCUGUUGUUGUUGUUGAAGCUUUUAUUUAAAGUUUACAUUUCAGUAAACAUUUGAACCUUGCUUUUGCCCUUUCGUCAUUUCUUUCCUCUUCGUUUUUCUGUUGCUUUCAUCGUUUUGGCUUUCUGUUUAGGGAAAAGUUGAACAUUCAAUUAUUGAAUUUUUCUUGCUGUGUGUUGGUUGUGUGGGUGAACAGGGAGACGAAAUGAAUGAGCUUAUCAAGGAUGAUUAUGAUGACCGUGACGAUAAAUGUGAUGAUAUUGAUUACAAGAUGAUGACAAAUUGUGAUUACGUUAUGUUUACUUCAAGUUUAUCUCAUUUACUUUUCUUUUUUUUUCUCUUUGCAACUUUUCCCUCAAACUUCAAGUUCCUGUGACUUUUUCAUGUGAUUUAACGUUGAUUGCCAAUGAUAAUCAUAACAAUAAUGUCAUUUUCCAAUAUUUCAAGCAACAGAGAGAAAGAAAGAAAGAAAAGAGAAUAAAAAAACAGGAAAAGAAGCAUGAAAAAUAGCAGAUUCCAUUGACUUUUGUUUUUCUUUUUUUCUCUCUCUAACAUGACAUCAGUAUCGUCAUCAUUAUCAUCAUUAAAAAGUCAGGUAAAGUCACACAUUUUCUGUCAUGAUUCCAUUGCUUUUCAAUCGACAUCUUUUUGCACCCAAAAAAUGAGCAAAACUGAAAAGUUAUUUUCUCAAUCAGGUUAUUCAGUAUUUCCAGCAUUUUUCAAAGAAUAAUGACCUCAAAAAUAAUAUUGCACAAUGAGUAACAACAGCAGCAAAAGACUCAACUUGACGGUAAGCAAGUGUCAAAUCAAUGUGUUAAAAUGAGAGAAAAGCAAAAAAAAAUCUGUGAAAAGCGCAAGCAAAACGCACCUUUCAUUUUACCGGUUAAAGAGUAAACAAUCUUUUUGCUUCCCUCAAAUUUCAUGCCCUUUUUGAGCUUAUCUUGUCCAACCUGUUUUUGGGUUCCUUGGUUGUUUACCUUUUUUUCUUGUUCCUUCCUUCACUUUACCUUUUUUUCUCAUUCCAUUCAUUCAUGUUUACUUUGACUUUUCAACGCAACAUUUCAUUUUCACCUCACUAACCCAUUGAUACAUUUUCAUUACUUACAUGAAAAUUACCACAAUUAUCUGUUAAUCUUGAACCCAAACUUAACCUUAAUUUCAACUGGUAAACUUUCACCCUCUUUUUGUUUGCCGUAGCUCAGUGCACUUGCCAUAAAUGUAAUAAAAGGCAACAUUUAAACCCAAACCAGAAUAAUAUCACAUUUAAACAUCAAAACAUUGUAAGCAAAUAAUGUCAAUAAAAUGAUGAAUAAUGUUAAGCGCAUUAAUACAUGAAAUCAACAAAAAUAUCCCAAAAAAAAACGAAAACAAUUUUUACAUCUUUUCAAGGUUUAACCAGUUUUUU